UGAAGGAGAUGAUUAAUAACUUUGGAAGCAUUAACUGUUUAUUUAAGUUUAGGGAAAUCAGCGUUACCAAAAAACCCCAGCAAACCUAACUGAGCUUCCUUCAGAGUCGCUCACAUUCCAUCUUCAAAGUGAGAUAAUGCAAGAAUGCCAAAAAUUCAACAGAGCCUUCUCAAGUAACAAUCUUGUCCUUAAGAAAGGAUGGGAUUUUGAAUUGUGGAAUUUUCCAACCAUUUAUUCUCUCGUUUUCCAUCUUGUUUGUCUUCAAGUGUCAAUUGAUUCCUCUCAGUCACAGCUACACAAAUCACAAGGCUCUUUUUUUUUUUUUUUAAUUGGCAUAGAAAACCAAAACCCGUUGCCACCCAGUCGGUUCCGACUCAUAGUGACCCGAUAGACACAUACAUUAUUCAUCUAUUUAGUUUCAUCUGAAAAGAAUCCAAUAAAGAAGCAACUCUGUUUUCCAAUGAAGUAUUUAAAGCUGCUUUAUCCCCCACGAGAGCUCGGACAGAAGAUUCCAUCCACGGUACAUAUAGGCUCAGAGCUAUCACCUCCUGCUAUCUGCACCACACCAACGGGGAGAGUUAUUGGUCGAAGCCCUGGAGUAGGAGACUCAGAAGAGGCAUAGUGAAUCCUUUCAGGAACCUGAUGCAUGAGAUUGGAUUGUUUGCAGGACCAUAGCAGAGCCACACACAUUCUAAGCAGCAUGGUCAGUCGCCAUCUUUGAGCAGGGAGCCACCAUCUUUGAGUGGGGCACCGGGGCUUCAGACUGUGCUCAAAAUCCAAGGGCAAGAGAUUUGGUUGCCAUGCAACGCAUACGCUGUCCUUAUUGCCUAAGAGGGAGAUUGUCUAGGAGGCCUUUGGCUUGUAAUUUUUCCUAUUGCAGCUAUCUUUCAGGUCUGUUCCAGUGACACUUCCUUGGCCAUGACUGAACUGGGUAGAACCACUUUGAAGCCCUGCAAAAUACUUAAAGGAGUUGUCCAACGUAAAAUGAUUUACUAAUUUUUUUUAUUUACAAAAGACAAGGGUCCCACACUAUCUGAUCUUUCUUGUGAUGACUAGUGGCUAUCAGUAUUAUGCAGAUAUUUUCAGAAAAGUAAAUAUUUUUAGAAUGUCUCUUCAAAGUAAAGAUGAGGUUUUAAUGAUGAAUGAGAAAGUAACCGCUUUUCAAAAUUAAUUUGCAGUUUUGAAAGUGAGUGUAAUAGGCAGUCUCUGGGCAUCCCUGGGUGGUGCAAACAGUUAACACUCAGCUGCUAACCGCAAAGUUGGAAGUUCAAGUGAACCUAGAGGCUCCUCCAAAGAAAGGUCUGCUGAUCUCCUGGAAAAAUCAGCCAUUGAAAACUGUACAGAGCACAGUUCUACUCUGACACGCAUGUGGUCACCUUGAGUAGGAGUCAACUCAACUGCAACUGGUAUAGGCAGCCUCUUGAGAUUGCCCCCAGUGAUCACUUCUUCCUGAUAUUCAUGUUCGUGUGUAAUCCACCCGCCUUGAGUGUAGGCUGGAUCUAAUGACUCGCUUAUAUUGAAUAGACUAUGGCAAAAUUCGCUUCCAAGACUUUGUUACAAAGACUGUAACUUCCAUCAUGCUCUCCCUCUCUCAUUCUUUCUCUAUGGAGAAGUCCACUGGAAAGAACUGCUGUCUCCAGCCAACAAUCAGUGAGAGCCUGAGUUCUGCCAACAGACAUGUGGGUGAGCUUAGAAGCAGAUUCUCCCCAAGGCCAGCCUUAAGAUGACUGAAGGUCCACCCAACACCCCAAGUGAAGCUUUGUGAGAGACCCUGAGCCAAAAGAAUACACCUAAGCCACUCCUGGAUUCCUGACCCACAGAAACUAUGAUAAUAAACAUUUGUUGUUUUAAGCCA